rfam:Zancudomyces culisetae strain COL-18-3 scaffold-1851, whole genome shotgun sequence.
GGUCGCGUGGCCUAAUCGAUAAGGCGUCAGAAUAUGGGUCUGAAGAUUGUGGGUUCGAGUCCCACAGUGAUAG